GGGGAUGCAGCUCAGCGGUAGAGCGCAUGCUUUGCAUGUGUGAGGUCCAGGGUUCAAUCCCCUGCAUCUCCA